rnacentral:rRNA from 1 species
CUCGGGGCCGCCCUCGCGGGCGCCCAGAGGACACCAAUCGAAACUCUGCAUCUCAUGCGUCGGAGUCAUUAUGUGAAUCAAUCAAAACUUUCAACAACGGAUCUCUUGGUUCUGGCAUCGAUGAAGAACGCAGCGAAAUGCGAUAAGUAAUGUGAAUUGCAGAAUUCAGUGAAUCAUCGAAUCUUUGAACGCACAUUGCGCCCCCUGGCAUUCCGGGGGCAUGCCCGUUCGAGCGUCAUUACACCACUCAAGCCUGGCUUGGUAUUGGGCGUCGGGAUGCACCCGCGCCUCUAUGUUUGUUCGGCUGGACGGUUGGAAUCUCAGCGUUGUGCAAUCAAUCCGCUGUGGGACCUGACUGGACGCGCCGUGAAAAUCUCAUCACAGGUUGACCUCGGAUCGGGUAGGGAUACCCGCUGAACUUAA